UUCAUAAAUCGUUUGGAUAGCGUGGAGAGAAGUAGUACAAAGAAUGCUUCCUAAAAAAAAAGACAACUCCAAACUAACAGGAUAAGAGUAACGUGCAUUUUGGAAUACAAAAACGUAAGCAAUUUGUGUUAAAAAAAAGAAUACAUUGUAUCUAUCAGUAUAAUAAGAAAUAAAUAUAAAAUAUAACAAAUAA